UACGGAGGGGGCUAGCGUUGUUCGGAAUUACUGGGCGUAAAGCGCACGUAGGCGGUUUUUCAAGUCAGAGGUGAAAGCCCGGGGCUCAACUCCGGAAUUGCCUUUGAAACUGGAAGACUUGAACACGGGAGAGGUGAGUGGAAUUCCGAGUGUAGAGGUGAAAUUCGUAGAUAUUCGGAGGAACACCAGUGGCGAAGGCGGCUCACUGGACCGUUGUUGACGCUGAGGUGCGAAAGCGUGGGGAGCAAACAGG
rnacentral:rRNA from 1 species